rnacentral:tRNA from 3 species
GGGGGCGUAGCUCAACUGGAUAGAGCGCGGGACUACGGAUCCCGAGGUUGCGGGUUCGACUCCCGCCGCCCUCGCCA